ensembl:sense_intronic predicted gene, 19967
AGAAACCCUUUCUCGAAAAACAACAACAACAACAACAACAAAAAGUAAUCCUUUUUAUCUUUUUAAAGGUAGUUUCAUUUCUGCUUCUGAGUUGAGUAAAUGAAAGUUGAGUAGAAGCUGGGCUUGGUAGUGUUGGUCUUUAAUCCCAGCAUUUGGGAGGCAGGGGCAGUUGGAUCUUUGAGUUCAAGGACAGCCUGGUCUACAGAGCUAGUUCCAGGACAGCCAAGGCUAUGUAUACAAGGAACUCCAUCUUGAAAAACAAAAUCAAAACAAACAAACAAAAUUCCCCCCCAAGUACUGGGAUUAAAGGCAUGCACCACCACUGUCUGGCUCCAGUCUGUUUUUAUUGUACUUUUACAUGUUUCAUAUUGUGCUAUCUGUAAUUUUGUAUUUUGUUCUUUUCAUUUAUAUUUUCUUUGGCAUCUUAUUAAAUGGGUAUACCUACAAUAGCUAAUAAUUUAAUUUUCUGCUUUUCUUCCUUCCUUUCCCUCCAUCCUCCUCUCUCCUCCUUUCUUUCUUACAAGGUCUCACUGUUUCCCAGCUGGGCUUGAACUCCUUAGCCGCCUGAAUAGCUGAAUUGUGAGCACAUACCCUGUGCCCAGCAGUAGUUUCAGUUUAGAAUUUGGUGACAGUGCAAGGGGUUUCAGGAACUUUUUUCUUUCCCCUGCACUGAUAUUCUGUGGUUUGAAAUGAGUGUCUUUAUGGAUCUUGAGUAAAAUCUUCAAGUAAAAGUUUCUGGUUAUAGUAAGAUAUGACCCAAACUUCUCUUUUCCUUUUUCUAGCUUUGUGUUAUUAAACUUAGUAAAGUGUUUCCUUUUUUUGAAGUAUAUAGUAGGACACAGCUGAGGGCUUGAAAAUGGUUUUAAGUUAUUGUACAUUCUUUCAUAUCAAAAUUAGGGAAAAUUAAGCUAGACAAUGUGGUGUGGCCCAAUCUUUCAGUCUAACACUUGGGAGACAAAGAAAGAUGACUGAGAGUUGAGAUUGUCUCAAUAAACAAUAGUAAAACUAGGAAAAGUCAAAAUAUGUAAGAAUUAUUGGAUCUUUUCCUUAUUUAUGAUUUUACUUUUUCUUCUUUUAAUAUUGGUAGUGCUUAAUUCAGAUAUUUUGAGUAAGUGACUUUUUCUUUUUGGAUAGUAAGCAUUAAAAGUAGCCACAGUCUUGAAAAACAAAACCAAGCAACCAAAUAAAAUAAAUGAAACCACAGAGGCUUGACAUGGUGGUGUGGCAAGCUCCUUUAAUCCAAAGAAUUGGCAGCUUGUAGCAGCUGGAUCACUGAGUUCCAGGCCAACCCUGGCAAUUUAACAAAUGUCAUUCUGGCCUUGGCCAGGGAGACCUUGUCCCUUUUGCUUUUCCUGUCCUUGAUAAAUAAAUUAAUAAAUUAGCCUUAGCAUCAGAUGAUUUCCCCCUUAGUACUUCAACAAAGUAAUGAUAUAUGGACUGUGUUUGUGAAGGCUGUUGGACUAAAACUCCAUGCUGUUAAAUAUUGUUGAAAGCUGAUGAGGAGGCUAGUUAAAUUGUGUGUAGCAGGACGGGGUAUGUCCUGGAAAUCAGUAAGCAUGGAACUUGGUGAGAAUCCUGAGGGCAGGAGUGUCUUUUGUGGCUACAAAGGGAUUUGAUCUUUGUAUUUCUUUAUGCAGUAACUACUCUUAAAGGGACAGCUAACAUUUAUCAUUUUUUUUUCCUACAUUCCAUGUUAAGCACUUUUUGAGCUCUGUGCUAAUUACUGACCUAUUGAGUCACCAUGUUAGCACAUAGAAUAGCACUUGCAUUUGAAGAACUGUUUUCAGUUUGAUUUCUGAUUGCAUUAUGAUAUACCUAUUUCUAAACUUCUAUUUGGUGUAAAUUGACUUUUGUACGUGUGACAUUAAACACAUGCGUGUAAAAAGCAGUUAUUUUGACCAUUCUGUUUUGUAGAAGUGUGAUAUGCCUGUAGUACUUGAGAUAGAUUGUUUCAAAAGUUACAUCAAAACAGAAUGAAAAUAAGGGAGGUUCUUGGUAAACCCUCAAAUGGAUCAUGAUUUCUGGAAUUUUAAUCUGUUUUAUAAAUUGGAGAGAGCCAGCUGUGGGUGUGGACUUGGGUUUGAACAGUGUGGGUCAGAGCCAGGAUGCAGUAGGGAGGAGUGGAAACACAAUGUUUGGCUG